ACUCCUACGGGAGGCAGCAGUGGGGAAUUUUGGACAAUGGGCGCAAGCCUGAUCCAGCCAUGCCGCGUGCAGGAUGAAGGCCUUCGGGUUGUAAACUGCUUUUGUACGGAACGAAAAAGUGCCUUCUAAUAAAGGGCG
rnacentral:rRNA from 1 species